AUUGAACGCUGGCGGAAUGCUUUACACAUGCAAGUCGAACGGUAGAGGGGGCAACCCCUCGAGAGUGGCGAACGGGUGAGUAAUAUAUCGGAACGGGCCCAGUCGUGGGGGUUAACGUAGCGAAAGUUACGCCAAUACCGCAUACGAUCUAAGGAUGAAAGCGGGGGAUCGCAAAACCUCGCGCGAUUGGAGCGGCCGAUAUCAGAUUAGGUAGGUGGUGGGUUAAAGGCUCACAAAGCCAACGAUCUGCAGCUGGUCUGAGAGGACGACCAUCCACACUGGAACUGAGACACGGUCCAGACUCCUACGGGAGGCAGCAGUGGGGAAUUUUGGACAAUGGACGCAAGUCUGGUCCAGCCAUUCCGCGUGCAGGAUGAAGGCCCUCGGGUUGUAAACUGCUUUUGUACGGAACGAAAAGGUCUCUCUUAAUACGGGGGGCUCAUGACGGUACCGUAAGAAUAAGCACCGGCUAACUACGUGCCAGCCGCCGCCGUAA
rnacentral:rRNA from 1 species